UCAAAUCUUGUUACAGUAAGUGUUAUAUCGAAACUGGCCCAGUAACCCACCAGUCCCAUGCCAAUUUCGGAGAUUUCAACUCAGCCCAAUGUUAACCAUGAAUGGCGAAAAUCAAUGUGUUUAAUGUGGUGUUUAACCCAGAACAGUGGGGUGGAUUGUUCACCCCCGUAUCUUCGUUGGAUCAAUGGAUCAGAGGUCCGGAUUAGUUUGAAUUUGGGAUUCAGAAAUAUAUUAAAGCUUAAAAUUAAA
rnacentral:lncRNA from 1 species